rnacentral:misc_RNA from 1 species
GAUGAAGAACGCAGCGAAAUGCGAUAAGUAAUGCGAAUUGCAGAAUUCCAGUGAGUCAUCGAAUCUUUGAACGCAUAUUGCGCCCUCUGGUAUUCCGGAGGGCAUGCCUGUCCGAGCGUGAUUACUAUCUUCAAGCACAGCUUGUUUGUUGAGCCCAAUUGUCCCUUUAAUUGGGGACAGGCUUGAAAUGCAGUGGAGAUGCUCAAGGUUUGGGUGCCCAAGUGUAUGGAGCUUUGUCACACGCUUUGGUGGCCCCAGCCCUGGCAUUCUGGUGGGAUCUUUCUUUUUGGGUGAAUUUAUUUACCUAAGAUUUAACCUCGGAUCAGGUAGGGAUACCCGCUGAACUUAAGCAUAUCAAUAAGCGGAGGA